AUGCUAGUGCCAGAGGUGCUGGUGCUGUUCUACUUCAGCAGGACAAGAGUGGACUGGAUCAUCCGUGACAGCUACAUCGUGUGUGUAAAAGCCGUGGUGAUGGUGAGGGAUGAUUCCAGUGGAGGCUGGUUGGCCCAGGACGGGGGGGCUCUGAGCAGGGUGGGAGUCUGCAGGGUCCUGCCCCCCGAGCUGGGGCUGGGGCUCACCCCCUGGGUCGCUCCCACUUCCUCAUCCAUGGAGAACGGCUACGGGACAAACAGGUGAUCCUGGAGUGUGCUCUGAGGAAGAACCUUGUGUACACCAAGGCCACGCCCACCUUCCACCAUUGGAUGGUGGAGGACAGGAGGUGUGGCCUGACGUUCCAGAGGCCUGCUGAUGCCCGGGCCUUCGACAGGGGCGUACGGAAAGCCAUGGAGGACAUGACAGAAGGCUCCACGACGUCCUCCUCAACACUCCAGAAUGAGGCUGAACUGGGCGACGAUGACGUGUUCACCAAUGCCACAGACAGCUCAUCUAACUCCUCCUCCAAGAGACUGGAGCCCUGUCUGCAGCCACUGGACUCCUCCCCCCUCGCUGACUCAUCCCACCUACACAACAACUGCAUCCUGGGAAAUGACCUCCACGAACCCUAUAGGUUGUCAGACCACUACUUCCUAGAUCUGCCUCUGCCCCGCAUCCCUCACCACGUCACCUUCCAUGACGACGAGGAUAUCAUCAGGAUCAACCCUCGGGAACGUUCCUGGGAGCUCCCCUCGGAAUCCUCCUCCCGCUCGGAACGCCGUGUGGACCAACUAGAACGCUCCUGGCUCACGGGCUAUGAGGACUACCGCCACGCCACCGUGCGCCACAAAUACAUCCGCCCGCCGGACGACUCUGAGUCCUAUGUCCACUUCGCUAAGAGCGAGCCCCACAAACACCACUAUAGUUAUCCCCUGGUAUCCACAACGUUAGAUUCCUCCGACCCCAAACCUACCUUCAGACCUUUACCCAAGAGGCACCACUACGCCGGCUUGGGUUCGCAACACCGCCGUCCAGGGGAGCAGGGCUUCGGUGGGGGCGUGGUCUCUACCCAGCCCCAGCCCCUCCUCCCUGGCUCGUCUGAUGGACAGGACAAGAAGUCUGAGGAGGGCGGGGUUGGUGAGAGCCUGCAGUGCCAAUACUGUGGUGAAACGUUCUACCGCGGUAACAACCGACGGGGGCGCUGCCAGGAUGCACCGGACCCGAUCAGGGCGUGCGUCCGGCGGGUCAGCUGCAUGUGGCUGGCCGACACACUGCUGUACCACUGCAUGUCUGACCCGGAGGGGGACUACUCGGACCCCUGCUCCUGUGAGGGGGGUGGCGAGGGGAGGCUGGGCACGCGCUGGGCAGCUCUGCUGGGGUUGUCCCUAGUGGCGCCGUGUCUCUGCCUGUACCCGCCCCUUCACGCCUGCCACCGGGCCGGGGUGGCGUGCGGGGUCUGCGGGGGCAGGCAUGAAGCCUCAAUGACAUAAACCUUACACAACCCCCAAAAACACAUGGUGGGGAGAGGGGAAGGAGGGGAAGAAGAAGAGCGGCCCUAUGCCUCAUUUUGGUUUUGUGGUUUUGUUUCUCUACAGACGGACGUGUAUAUACAGCCGAAACGUUGGCGUGUUGUGGCUGCCAUUUUGAAAUGGCUUAAAGAUUGAUAAGCUCCUUCUUGUGUACUGUCGUUCUCUCUCUCCUCUUUCCACAUGACAGUCUUGUUCCCUCCAUUCCUGUUUGAGGAGGGACUCUUUUUUUAUAGCUGACUAAUAUGUCAUGUAUCACAUACAACCAGGUACUUCCUACUUUUUACACUGACUUGGUGUUGAACAACUUGAAUUGUUAGUUUGCGUAUGUUGUUGUCCUGUGUGGUUGUUUGCUAGGAGAGUCUGUUUGAUAUUAGACCUGGGUUCAUAUAGUAUUUGACAUUUUAUAAAAUCAUUUCAGUGUUUGUUCUAGCCGGCCCGAAGUGCCAGAUGGGCGGGGUUUGCAGUGUUUAGACUUCUAUUGGUUCAUUAAUCCAGGCAAGCUCAAUCAAGCACCGAUUUAAAUCUUUGAAAUGAUUUCAAAAAGUAUUUGAACCCAGGUCUUGUUUAGAUAGUUUAUAUGCCGCCAGGGCCGAUCCCAGCCCCCUCUAAACUAAACUGGCCUUCUGUCCCAAGUCCUUAAAACAGAGCAACAUCUAGGAGAUAAGCCUAAAGCUGCUGUAGUAGUGUGUGUGUGUGUGUGUGUGUGUGUGUGUGUGUGUGUGUGUGUGUGUGUGUGUGUGUGUGUGUGUGUGUGUGUGUGUGUGUGUGUGUGUGUGUGUGUGUGUGUGUGUGCGCGCACGUGCAUGUAUGUAUGUGCGCAUGCAUGUGUGUGUGUAUGUAUGUGCAUGUGUGCGCAUGCGUGUGUAUGUGCGUGUGUGUGCGCGCGUGCGUGUGUGUGUGUGUGUGUUGAUUAAAGCCUCCUUUGGUGUUAGUAACAAAUGUAACCUCUUUACUACACCAGUACAUUUCAUUUACACCAUCUUUACAUAAACUGCAAUAUCAUCAUUUAUAAGGUUUGAGUUGGACCCUAAAAUCAACCAGGAAACCUUCACACAGAUUAAGUCUAGUCCUGGACUUAAAAGCAUACUCAAUGGAGAAUCCAUAUUGAAAUAGCUUCUUAGUCCAGCACUAUGUUUCAGUUGUGUCCAGGAAGUUGGUGUAGAGCCUACUACACAGAGGUUCAACUUUAAGCUCUCCAGUGAGAAUCAACAGGGACACAUCGAGUUUUGACACCAAAGAUAAUUUUUAAUUGUAUUUAUUUUCUCUCUGAAUUGCCCCACCAGCUACGGGGCGUCAGGGUGGACAGACAGACAUGCCAGUUGGUAGGAGAUAGUGUCUAGAUACCACAGGGCGGCAGGGUGGACAGACAGACAGGCCAGUUGGUAGGAGAUAGUGUCUAGAUACCACAGGGCGGCAGGGUGGACAGACAGACAGGCCAGUUGGUAGGAGAUAGUGUCUAGAUACCACAGGGCGGCAGGGUGGACAGACAGACAGGCCAGUUGGUAGGAGAUAGUGUCUAGAUACCACAGGGCGGCAGGGUGGACAGACAGACAUGCCAGUUGGUAGGAGAUAGUGUCUAGAUACCACAGGGCGGCAGGGUGGACAGACAGACAUGCCAGUUGUAAGGAGAUAGUGUCUAGAUACCACAGGGCGGCAGGGUGGACAGACAGACAUGCCAGUUGGUAGGAGAUAGUGUCUAGAUACCACAGGGCGGCAGGGUGGACAGACAGACAUGCCAGUUGUAAGGAGAUAGUGUCUAGAUACCACAGGGCGGCAGGGUGGACAGACAGACAUGCCAGUUGGUAGGAGAUAGUGUCUAGAUACCACAGGGCGGCAGGGCGGACAGACAGACAUGCCAGUUGGUAGGAGAUAGUGUCUAGAUACCACAGGGUGGCAGGGUGGCAGGGUGGACAGACAGACAUGCCAGUUGGUAGGAGAUAGUGUCUAGAUACCACAGGGCGGCAGGGCGGACAGACAGACAUGCCAGUUGGUAGGAGAUAGUGUCUAGAUACCACAGGGUGGCAGGGCGGACAGACAGACAGGCCAGUUGGUAGGAGAUAGUGUCUAGAUACCACAGGGUGGCAGGGUGGACAGACAGACAGGCCAGUUGGUAGGAGAUAGUGUCUAGAUACCACAGGGUGGCAGGGUGGACAGACAGACAGGCCAGUUGGUAGGAGAUAGUGUCUAGAUACCACAGGGAGGCAGGGUGGACAGACAGACAUGCCAGUUGGUAGGAGAUAGUGUCUAGAUACCACAGGGCGGCAGGGUGGACAGACAGACAUGCCAGUUGGUAGGAGAUAGUGUCUAGAUACCACAGGGCGGCAGGGUGGACAGACAGACAUGCCAGUUUGUAGGAGAUAGUGUCUAGAUACCACGGGCGGCAGGGUGGACAGACAGACAUGCCAGUUGGUAGGAGAUAGUGUCUAGAUACCACAGGGUGGACAGACAGACAUGCCAGUUGGUAGGAGAUAGAUAGACAGUGCCUAGAUACCUUCUCUAAAGCCAGCAACACAUUUAGAAUGAGUCCCAAAUGGCACCCUAUUCUCAUAGGGCCCUGGUCAAAAGUAGUGCACUAUAAACUGAAUAGGCUGCCAUUUGGGAUGCAUCAUUCGCCUUUUAAAAGAUUAUGUCAAAUCUGAGGUGUGUCAGUUUGGGAUUUAUCUCACCACUUGAGGUUUGAAAACGUCUGACAAUCGUAGAUGUUUGGGAAGCACUACUUUGAGACAUGGGUGUUAUUAACAUUUUAUACCGUUUUAAAGUUGAAAUGUACCUGCAGGAAAUCAACUGUAUAUGUUUUUGAUAUAUGAGAAAGGAACUUAAACUCAAUAGGACUUUUCUAUUGAGAGAAUGAGUCAAUGAUAGAUUAUUAUUAUUAUUAGUAGCUUAUCAGCAUUGUGUACUCUCACUGAGGACCUAUAAGAAGCAGUUUCACCUUUGUCCCGCCCCCUUCUCACCUGUCACAGACCUUUUCUCGUAUGAUUGACACUGCAGCUAUCCACUCCCAGCACUCUAUCCACAAUGUUAAAGCCCAACACUAAUUAUAAGAGGACUGGGGUCCGUUCAAGAGGGGGCGAUGUUCUGACAAAAUGUUUGUGAUUAGAAAUGAGAUGAGUGGACAUGAUUCUGUCCCAGAGGCCAGUCUAUUCUACACAAGGUAGAAGCAUUCACUAGGCAGCGAAUGGAAGAACAACUGACUGCAACGGAAAGAGACUACCUGGACUCCAAUAAGAAACACUCAUUAUCAUUUUUUCCAUAUUAAAAACGUUUUCAGUUGCAUGACCUAAUGAAUACAACCCUGUCAGCUAACGUGUCAGUUUGUUCCAUAGAAAUAUAAUGUUUAGAAUCCAUAGAAAUAUAAUGGUGCAUUGUCAUGUCAAUUUCAAUGCUCCUGUCAAACCUAGAUGGUUGAAUGAAUGUGUUGUUCCAUACCAUGUUACUUAACAGAAGUCAUCUUGCUGUAGAAUAUCGUUUGGCCCAUCUGUUGUUGUCUGAAAGCUUCCAUGUUGCUGUAGAAUGUCAUUUGACCCAUCUGUUGUUGUCUGAAAGCUUCCAUGUUGCUGUAGAAUGUCAUUUGACCCAUCUGUUGUUGUCUGAAAGCUUCUAAUGGGGAAGGUUGUUUGGUAACACAUUACGUAAAAGCCAACUGGUAUAAUGCCUUAUAACUUGUUAUAAGCAUGUAUGCACCUUUAUAGAAGUGUUACAGGCACUACAUGUUCAUUUACUUUCUAUGGAAUGACUGUCACUACUCCACUCCAGACAUAUAGUACUCCUUCAUCAUGGGUAACACCGACCAGUAUAAUGCCUUAAACUUGGUAGAAGCUUGUAUGAGCAUAUUAUAAAGUUAAUCAUCUGAUUCUA